GCCAGGUGUGGUGGUGCAUGCCUGUAAUACCAGCAACUUGGGAGGCUGAAGCCAGAGGAUUGCUAGUUGGAGACCAGCCUCAACAAUUUAGCAAGGCCCUCUCUCAAAAUGAAAAAUAAAAAAAAAAGGGGGGGGGGGCUGGGAAUAUAGCUCAACAAUAAAGCAUCCCUGGGUUCUG
rnacentral:sRNA from 1 species